ACAAUUAUAUAACUGGUCAGUAAGGCUCAUGGCCUAGAUCAAUCGUUCACAUUGCACCUAGUGAGCGAGUUGAUCUACCAUCUCCCCUUCAUGUGAGAGUGGACAUUGUAAUUUUUGUUAGAGGGGAUACGCGUCCGCGUGGCCCCUAU
rnacentral:snRNA from 2 species